UCCUGGAGGUCCCGGAAAGUCCCGGAAUGCGUGACCUCCAUGAGAAACUCGCAGCCUUACCUAUGAUCCAUCCUAUUCAGAGGUGAACUCCUUGCUGUGCAUAUUCCUCCCUGGUUUCCUCCUUUCUCCUCUCUCAAGUAGAUUACAACCUCAUAGAAUGGGGUGCCUGUCCUAACAUCCCUUUGCUUAAGAGCUAUAUUAGGUAUUAUAAGCUAUAUAAGAACUAGGUAUUAUUAAUUAUUAUUAUAAUUCAGUUUGUCUAAACUUGCUUGCAGUAACUAUGGCCCUUUAAUAAUGUAUCUUGUUCACCACUGGCAGUGACGCCAUGCAUUUCUCUAUUACAGAUGUUGUGGGAUAUUUAUGAUGAAUGAGCUUCCAAGAGCUCAGAUAUUUAAUUUGUAACUACCGUGGUUAUUGAUGAUUAAAAUCCUCUUGUCUUUGCAGUGUUACUUAUUCAGAUAUUAAGAGAAAGUGCUUCCCAUCCGAUUAUGUUAAGCUAUGAUACACAAUGCGAUUCCAGGGAAACUGCUGAGAAAGAAUUUGAAUGUGGCCACAUAUAGAUAUAGAGAGACACACACAGAGAAGACAGAGAGAGAGAGAGAAAAUAUAUAUAUAUAUAUAUAUAUAUACACACACAUACAGCUGCAAGAACUAUAACUAAAAUUUAUAUAACUAAAAUUUACAAACAAACAAACAAACAAACAAACCUGUUAUACACUACAAUUGCUUCAUGAAUUUAUAACAUAUGGCAGCAAAGCACUAUAAAAACUGUAAACUAUAAAGAGGGUUACACAGUUCCGUUCAUUUAUCAGUUACAAUGAGUAAUUUGUGCACCAGGCAGGAAAAAGAAAACCCACACAGUUGGAGAGUGCAUAUGUGUUUCUGAGGUUCACAGUAGAGAGCCUUUUAUAAAGCAUACACAUGAUUUGAAUUCCAAAUUGAAAGCACUGAGCGGCAAUGUGCAGGGUAGUAUUGUAUAAUGGUACGUCCAGAAAGCAGUGAUUGGAGCCUAGGUCAGCUCAGGAUGGGAGGACUUCAGAAGGGUCAUAAGUUCAGUUCAGUGAUGCAUAAGUUUGGAAGCUGAUGUGAACUGGCUUGAAACUUGAGUCUGCAAAUAAAAAAUCUCUCUCAACAGACUCUUCAGUACUGUGGGUCACUGUGAAGGAAGGGGGUGGGGAGCCUUGUGGUUAAGACACAGCCCUGAGGGAGAGCAGACCUGGAAUCUAUUUCCAGUUCUGCAAGUGACUUGCUGCAUGACCUAGGACAAGUCACUUCAUCCCUCUGUGUCCCCAAUCUCCCCAGCUGUUCAAUGAAGACAAUAAAACUGAGUCACUGCACAGGUCAGUGGGGAGACUCCAUUUAUGAAUGGUGCGUUGAGGUAUACAAAUCCCACACUGGACAACAUGGGGUUGAAGAGCUCAUAUGGGCUCAGCUGGCUCUGCCCUGUUACACCUGUGAGAAAUGUCAGGAUUGGAGGGAGGAGCUUAAGAGGGAGACCCCAGCUCAGUGGAUGCUAGACCAGAGAGGAGAGCAGACUUUCAGCACUCAGGUCCUGAAAAGAGGGCUGGCUGAAGGCAGGAGCUCCCCAGCCAAACUCUGUCCGACAGCCCCUCCCAAAGGAAAGGGAGUGCCAGACGCUGACUCACAUCAAGCGGAGGAGGCCAUUUCCCACAAUUACUGGUGAUUUCAGUUUAUUUGGACUCAUUCCCCUUGUUUUUGUUUGUUGACUACACCGGAAGGGGAGAGACUUUAAAGUGACCUGGCCAGAGGGCCAAGUCAGAGGAAGAUGCAGACCACUUCAGGCCCAAAGCAACAAUCGGCAGGAGGUACGUGACAGGCUAUCCCAUGCCUGGCCACAAGGAUGCAUUAACACAUCAGCAGACGCAGCUUGAAACGUGUGUACAAGGCACUGCUUUACAGCAUCCCUUAUUCACCAGCACCUUGGAGACUCCAGUUCAUUGAAAGUAAUAAAACCAGAUCAUCAAAAAGAAUUCUUUUGAACAGGCUUUGGGCUCUGCUGUGCUACUCGGUUACGGAUAUUCAUCUUCCUGGAAACUGCUGUUUGAUACAGCACAGCAGCAUGAAAGCACCAGCCACCUCCCUGGUGCAUUAACCUCUCAAGUGUUGCAAUCACACUCCCUGAAUAGCAAAAUAUCUAUCAUUUUAUAAUUGCUUUAGGGUGAAGCAGACCUCAUUCUUCAGGACAUAAGCACAUUGCACAUGGGUCAAGGGAAUCCCUGUCACACCCCAAUGGCCCACCCCUCAGGGGGUCCCCUGGAGGAGGCAGAUCAGCAUUGUAUAUGCAUUGUAUAUUGCUAACGCUGUUGCAAGCAUCGCAGGGCAAUUUGGGAAGGGUCAAAGGUGUGAGUGGGGAGUGGAAGAUUCUUUUGCAGGCUACGAGAGGCCAAAGGGGGAAGGAGAAAGAGAGCAGAGAACUCAACAUUGCAGCUAGCAAGCUCAGUCCGACGAUAAGUCGCUGGCCCCAGUCCAAGGUCACGGCGCUAGAGAAAAAGUCUGAAGCUGCGUUUAUCUCUCACCCAGCCACAGCCAGCCAUGAAAAAAGAAAAAGUACACUGAACCAGGACUGCAGAAAUGGAAAACACCAGUGAGACGUCAAGUGGGGGAGCAGAGUUUUGCGUCCCUGGAGCCGUUUGUGUUUUGGGAAAGCAGAGAAGACCACAGAAAGCCGAUUUGGACUGGCACAAAGAGGACUAGGAACAGAGGUCGUGGAAUGGAACACCCCCAAAGGAACCCAGGACUUAAAACCCUCCAGAUUGCUGGAGCAAUUCGGAGAUCAGCAGCAGACCCCGGAUGACCCAUGCGCACAGGACAGAACUCCCGUCCACCCUUCCCCCUCUUCUUUUUACGUUACACCCAGGCCUGGCCAGCCUCGGGUAGUGAGUGUGUGAGUAUGAAAGUAGGUUAGAGGUUGGGGCACUAACGCUUUCUUCCUUCCUCUGAGUGACGUGGGGAGCACCCAUCACUCUCCACUGUUAUUUUAUUAUUUUAUCAAUAAAGCUUUAAAACUUAGA